CUCAGCGGGCACCACGCCGCAGCCCGGCCCCUUGUAAGCAAGGCCUUCCGUACAGGAUUUUAUUGGCCGACAGCCUGGGCAGAUGCUCAGGACUUAGUCGAACGAUGCGUCGGUUUCCAACUCUUUGCUAACCAAAGCCAUAUGCCACCCACCGCCCUCCAAACUAUACCCAUCACCUGGCCCUUCACGGUCUGGGGGCUUGACAUGGUUGGACCCCUUAAAGGAGGAACCCACAAGCAAAAAUACCUACUGGUCAUGGUGGACAAAUUCACCAAAUGGAUAGAGACCAAGCCUGUUAAGACAGCCGAAUCCGUACCGGUGAUAGACUUCAUAUCAGGGGUCGUACACCGUUACGGCGUCCCCCAC
rnacentral:rRNA from 1 species